rnacentral:rRNA from 1 species
GGUUUGAUCCUGGCUCAGGAUGAACGCUAGCUACAGGCUUAACACAUGCAAGUCGAGGGGCAGCAUGGUCUUAGCUUGCUAAGGCCGAUGGCGACCGGCGCACGGGUGAGUAACACGUAUCCAACCUGCCGUCUACUCUUGGACAGCCUUCUGAAAGGAAGAUUAAUACAAGAUGGCAUCAUGAGUCCGCAUGUUCACAUGAUUAAAGGUAUUCCGGUAGACGAUGGGGAUGCGUUCCAUUAGAUAGUAGGCGGGGUAACGGCCCACCUAGUCUUCGAUGGAUAGGGGUUCUGAGAGGAAGGUCCCCCACAUUGGAACUGAGACACGGUCCAAACUCCUACGGGAGGCAGCAGUGAGGAAUAUUGGUCAAUGGGCGAGAGCCUGAACCAGCCAAGUAGCGUGAAGGAUGACUGCCCUAUGGGUUGUAAACUUCUUUUAUAAAGGAAUAAAGUCGGGUAUGCAUACCCGUUUGCAUGUACUUUAUGAAUAAGGAUCGGCUAACUCCGUGCCAGCAGCCGCGGUAAUACGGAGGAUCCGAGCGUUAUCCGGAUUUAUUGGGUUUAAAGGGAGCGUAGAUGGAUGUUUAAGUCAGUUGUGAAAGUUUGCGGCUCAACCGUAAAAUUGCAGUUGAUACUGGAUAUCUUGAGUGCAGUUGAGGCAGGCGGAAUUCGUGGUGUAGCGGUGAAAUGCUUAGAUAUCACGAAGAACUCCGAUUGCGAAGGCAGCCUGCUAAGCUGCAACUGACAUUGAGGCUCGAAAGUGUGGGUAUCAAACAGGAUUAGAUACCCUGGUAGUCCACACGGUAAACGAUGAAUACUCGCUGUUUGCGAUAUACUGCAAGCGGCCAAGCGAAAGCGUUAAGUAUUCCACCUGGGGAGUACGCCGGCAACGGUGAAACUCAAAGGAAUUGACGGGGGCCCGCACAAGCGGAGGAACAUGUGGUUUAAUUCGAUGAUACGCGAGGAACCUUACCCGGGCUUAAAUUGCAGAUGAAUUACGGUGAAAGCCGUAAGCCGCAAGGCAUCUGUGAAGGUGCUGCAUGGUUGUCGUCAGCUCGUGCCGUGAGGUGUCGGCUUAAGUGCCAUAACGAGCGCAACCCUUGUUGUCAGUUACUAACAGGUUCCGCUGAGGACUCUGACAAGACUGCCAUCGUAAGAUGUGAGGAAGGUGGGGAUGACGUCAAAUCAGCACGGCCCUUACGUCCGGGGCUACGCACGUGUUACAAUGGGGGGUACAGAGGGCCGCUACCACGCGAGUGGAUGCCAAUCCCCAAAACCUCUCUCAGUUCGGACUGGAGUCUGCAACCCGACUCCACGAAGCUGGAUUCGCUAGUAAUCGCGCAUCAGCCACGGCGCGGUGAAUACGUUCCCGGGCCUUGUACACACCGCCCGUCAAGCCAUGGGAGCCGGGGGUACCUGAAGUGCGUAACCGCGAGGAGCGCCCUAGGGUAAAACUGGUGACUGGGGCUAAGUCGUAACAAGGUAACC